UCAUCUCUCUUCUCUGUGGGAUCCAAGAGACAGUCCCGUGAUCCUAAGAGAGGGCAGACAUGAACCAGCCUGAAGAAACAUCAAAUGGAGCUCCAGGAAUAAACCACAAAAUUUCUGAGAAGCUAAAAUCAUCAAUGGGAUUCCUCAGGCUUGUGUAGACAUUGUGGGGUUGAGCAGGUGCUUUACGUCGUGAGUGGGCACUACUUCGUCAUCUUGGCAUUUCAUCCUGGGACAUUGAGUGUGAGCAGCAAAUAAGUCACAGAAAGGAUAGUCCCAGGAUCCUAGGAGAAGGUAGACAUGACCCACCCUGAAGAAACAUCAAGCAGAGCCCCAGGAAUAAACCACAAAAUCCCUAAGUAUCCAAAAGGAUCUGCUGGAU